AUGUAAAUAUAAAAUACCCGCAAUUCCUUUCGGUCGUGCAUUAUCGAUUCUUUUUGACAACCAAUAAAAAUAGCGGAACAUUCUUAUAAAAUCUACAGAGCGUAAAUUGUUGAUUUUGAAACACACCCAGAUUUAUAUUAGAAUCUGAUGUUUCGACGGGGUCCAAGUCACUUCUUCAAGGCGCGCAACAUCAAAUCAUCAAUCAUAAAGAACCGUUCCUAAAAAACAAGAGACGCCAAUAUCAGACAGUAUAUGAAAUAUGGCAGCCAUGUAGCUCUGUAAUUGUUGCAAAGUCUUACCAUUUCAUCUUGUGAGCGGAAGGAAAGCCAUUGAGUCCCUUUGGAAAUUAAACAAAUAAAUUGUAGUCGACGUUUGAAAAGCCUAGUAAAGAUCAAUUAUGCCUUAGCUCAGAUGAACAAAACGUUUGGAAACUAUUGCAAAAAGCUAAGACGCCAUACUUGUUAGUGCUAGAUUUCACCUUUGAAGCAAUUCAAAUGAGGAGAAGAUGAGAAGUGUCGUCGAAGAGUAGAAGCGUUGACCAUGAUUACAUAAAAGAUUAAUGGCCAC
rnacentral:sRNA from 1 species